UACCGAGGUCUCAAGCGUUGUUCGGAUUUACUGGGCGUAAAGGGCGCGUAGGCGGCGCGAUAAGUUGGGCGUGAAAGGCCCGGGCUCAACCCGGGGACUGCGCUUGAUACUGUCGCGCUGUGAGUCCGGGAGAGGAUGGCGGAAUUCCCAGUGUAGAGGUGAAAUUCGUAGAUAUUGGGAAGAACACCGGUGGCGAAGGCGGCCAUCUGGACCGGCACUGACGCUGAGGCGCGAAAGCGUGGGGAGCAAACAGG
rnacentral:rRNA from 1 species